rnacentral:lncRNA from 1 species
AUAAUUAAGUAAUUUGAGUUACUAUUUUCUUUUUUUUGUGGUCUCUUUAUUCACUUUUUCUUUUCUUAAAGCAAAUAAGGAAUUUUAUUGGUUAUAAUGAUUCUUAUAAAUUUCAUAUGGUUUGACAUAAAAUUAGGUAACUGGUAAGGCCUUCAUGUUGGAUGAAAUUAUCAACUAUGUACAGUUCUUACAAAACCAAGUGGAGGUAACAUUGCUAUUGGAAAAAAAAAAACUCAAACACAGUUAUAAUGAUUUAAUUCUUCUUUAACUCAAACACAGUUAUAAUGAUUUAAUUCUUUUGCUAUUGGAAAAAAAAAAACUCAAACACAGUUAUAAUGAUUUAAUUCUUCUUUAAUACAUUAUUAAUGUGUUUUUGUUUUUCAGUUCCUCUCAAUGAAGCUUGCUUCUGUGAAUCCCAUGUUCUAUGAUUUUGGAAUGGACCUAGAUAACACAUUCAUGGUCAGGCCAGAUGAUCAGCAGGUAAAAGAGCCUUCAUUUAUAGGGUCUAGUUAAUUAUAAUUUAUGAUUAAAUGUAAUGAAUCUUUGUCUCUGACAUGAAUUAAAAUCC